rnacentral:rRNA from 1 species
GUGAACGCUGGCGGUAGGCCUAACACAUGCAAGUCGAACGGCAGCACAGUGAGAGCUUGCUCUUACGGGUGGCGAGUGGCGGACGGGUGAGGAAUACAUCGGAAUCUACUUUUUCGUGGGGGAUAACGUAGGGAAACUUAGGCUAAUACCGCAUACGACCUACGGGUGAAAGCAGGGGAUCUUCGGACCUUGCGCGAUUGAAUGAGCCGAUGUCGGAUUAGCUAGUUGGCGGGGUAAAGGCCCACCAAGGCGACGAUCCGUAGCUGGUCUGAGAGGAUGAUCAGCCACACUGGAACUGAGACACGGUCCAGACUCCUACGGGAGGCAGCAGUGGGGAAUAUUGGACAAUGGGCGCAAGCCUGAUCCAGCCAUACCGCGUGGGUGAAGAAGGCCUUCGGGUUGUAAAGCCCUUUUGUUGGGAAAGAAAAGCAGCAGGUUAAUACCCCGCUGUUCUGACGGUACCCAAAGAAUAAGCACCGGCUAACUUCGUG